AUCAAGAACUAGACAAGAAAAUAAAAUUCCGUUAAACAAAGUGAAUUAGAAUUCUGAGUAAAAUGUUAACCUAUUUUAAAGUACUCUUUAACUAUGGUCAUAUAUAAUUAUUAUAUAUCAUUGCUAGCUAGAAAGUUUUUCAGUUUUUUUGUUCUUUUUGUGUUAAAUUUAGAUGCUCUGUUUUGGUUCAAUAGUUCAUGUUUGUAUUGAUUUGAUUACAGCCAUUAUAUGUGUUAGACUAUGUGUCCCUUUGAAGACUAAUUAAAAUUACAAAUAGCAUACAUUCUAUAAAGGUUGUAGAGGCAUCAAGACAAUCGUGGGUGUGAGUUAUUCAAACCAGCAUUCACAUGCUGUGACACCCAUAUUUUCACG
rnacentral:lncRNA from 1 species